rnacentral:rRNA from 1 species
CCUACGGGAGGCAGCAGUGGGGAAUAUUGGACAAUGGGCGAAAGCCUGAUCCAGCCAUGCCGCGUGUGUGAAGAAGGCCUUCGGGUUGUAAAGCACUUUCAGUGGGGAAGAAAGCCUUGGGGCUAAUACCCUCGAGGAAGGACAUCACCCACAGAAUAAGCACCGGCUAACUCCGUUCCAGCAGCCGCGGUAAUACGGAGGGUGCGAGCGUUAAUCGGAAUUACUGGGCGUAAAGCGCGCGUAGGCGGUCUGAUAAGCCGGUUGUGAAAGCCCCGGGCUCAACCUGGGAACGGCAUCCGGAACUGUCAGGCUAGAGUGCAGGAGAGGAAGGUAGAAUUCCCGGUGUAGCGGUGAAAUGCGUAGAGAUCGGGAGGAAUACCAGUGGCGAAGGCGGCCUUCUGGACUGACACUGACGCUGAGGUGCGAAAGCGUGGGUAGCAAACAGGAUUAGAUACCCUUGUAGUC